rnacentral:rRNA from 1 species
UACGUAGGGUGCAAGCGUUGUCCGGAAUUAUUGGGCGUAAAGAGCUUGUAGGCGGUUUGUCGCGUCUGCUGUGAAAUUUCGGGGCUCAACCCCGAACCUUGCAGUGGGUACGGGCAGACUAGAGUGUGGUAGGGGAGACUGGAAUUCCUGGUGUAGCGGUGAAAUGCGCAGAUAUCGUAAGGAAGACCAGUGGCGAAGGCGAGUCUCUGGACAGUUACUGACACUGAGGCACGAAGGCCAGGGGGAGCAAACGGG